AGCUCCAAUAGCGUAUAUUAAAGUUGCUGCAGUUAAAAAGCUCGUAGUUGCAUUUCCGAGGCAAGGGAUUAGUCCGACCUUUGGUGGGUAUUUAAUCCUCUUGCCUCGUCCUUGAGUGGUGCUUCUUGGUAUUAAGUUAUCGAGGAGAUAGCCGCUCAUCGUUUACUGUGAGAAAAUUAGAGUGUUCAAAGCAGGCUUAUGCCGUUGAAUAUAUUAGCAUGGAAUAAUAAGAUAGGACCUCGGUACUAUUUUGUUGGUUUGAGAACCAAGGUAAUGAUGAAUAGGGACAGUUGGGGGUAUUCGUAUUCAGUUGUCAGAGGUGAAAUUCUGAGAUUUACUGAAGACGAACUACUGCGAAAGCAUUUACCAAGGAUGUUUUCA
rnacentral:rRNA from 1 species